ACGAAAACAAUCAGAAAAGUGUAGUAAGAGGUAUAAAAGAUAUAAUAU
rnacentral:guide_RNA from 1 species